AUCUAUGUACUAUUUAAAACACGAGUAGGAGUGUUUUAUCAGAUAUAAAACGCGAGGCGCAGUCGAGCGUUUUAUGUCUGAUAAAACACGACAACGAGUGUUUUGAAUAGCUUAAAAUACGACUACAAAAGAAUACUAAUUGGGAUGAACCAUUAUAUAAUCAUACUAAUUAGGAUGAACAAUUAUAUAAUGCCUCGUGCUUUAUCAGAUAUAAAGUCACUCCACGUGACAUAUUAUGGCUG